UCUGUCUGCUGCAGACAUGAGAGGAUCGUGCUAAGUUUGUUCCGUACGAGUGACUCUGUUUUCGGGAUAAAUAACUUGCUGAAGUCGACACAACACUGUUUCCCUGGAGGACAAGACGAGUGCGUGGGAAAGCAAAGCCGCGGGCCCGGUGUGGAGGAGUCGAGGCGGAGAAGACAGGCGCACAGUCCCUGAAUUAAGCCUGAUUCCCGCACACAAUGAUGCAGUCACUGCACAUUACGCCGAGACUCGCUGAAAGUCCACAUUUGCAGUGCGGGAAAACGACGCCAUUGUACCUGCCUAUACUAUGACUUACUAAGACCCACUAUGAGCCGGUAUGAAGGAGCUUCCAGUUCAUCCAUACGGACCUUGCAUCAGCAUUGAGGAGUUCAGGAGUCGGCAGAGAAGAAAGAGGCUGAUUGAAGCGGGACAGAUGACAUGGUUCCAUCCUUCCACAGCCAGGAGCUCACCGACCUGUGUGCCACACUUCAAAUAAGACUAGAGGCUACACUGGAUCUCACAGCUACACACCACAGACGUCUACACACUGGGGCAGAUACGGACAAAGAACAUAUGACCCAGAGGCUGCAAAGAGACAUUUCAAGCUUCACCUGAAUUUUUUCACUGGCUAGGCUAGUUGUGUUUGUA